rnacentral:rRNA from 1 species
GAUGAACGCUGGCGGUGUGCCUAAUACAUGUAAGUCGUACGCAUUCCCGUUUUUGAUUGAAGGUGCUUGCACCUGAUUGAUAAAACAUCGGAAUGAGUGGCGGACGGGUGAGUAACACGUGGGUAACCUGCCCAGAAGUGGGGGAUAACAUUUGGAAACAGAUGCUAAUACCGCAUAAUAGAUAGAACCACAUGGUUCUAUUUUGAAAGAUGGCCUUUGUGCUAUCACUUCUGGAUGGACCCGCGGUGUAUUAGCUAGUUGGUAAGGUAACGGCUUACCAAGGAAACGAUACCUAGCCGAACUGAGAGGUUGAUCGGCCACAAUGGGACUGAGACACGGCCCAUACUCCUACGGGAGGCAGCAGUAGGGAAUCUUCCACAAUGGGCGCAAGCCUGAUGGAGCAACACCGCGUGAGUGAAGAAGGGUUUCGGCUCGUAAAACUCUGUUGUUAAAGAAGAACGUAUCUAAGAGUAACUGCUUAGGUAGUGACGGUAUUUAACCAGAAAGCCACGGCUAACUACGUGCCAGCAGCCGCCGUAA